GUGCAGUGGUUUGGGAAAAGCAUGGAAUCAGAAAGUUAGGUUACGGAGAAAAAUAAGUUUUCUGCAGAAAAAUAAUGUAUUAAAUUCACUGUUUAGGUUUAGAAUUAUUUUUUAUACCUCAGACAUCAGUAAUCUUCAUUACUUCGAUCUCGAAAGAGCGAAAGACAGGUUUAAAAGGAACCAGCACACCAAGCAGCAACACUUCGUCUUAAGCUAAUUAGUACGACAAAUGAUUUAUUUUCCCCACUGUUUUCACUUCGGAUGUAAUCCAGUAGUACCGGCUUGUUGGCUGACAGUGGCAAGAUGUUUUCAAUUUCCUACUCCACUUCAUAGUGGUACCAUAGCUCCCCGUAGCCGUAGCCAAGCACAACCAGUCAGAGUGGCGGCGUUCAAUCAAACCUGAAGCUAUUCUGUGCCAGAAGCGCCCGGCUGGACGGAAGGAUCGAAAGCCACAAUACCACCGGGGUAAAACACGCAGAAAAACGAACUUGCUGUUACGACGUCUGCCCUUCAAAAGGGGGAAGGAGUGCAUUAAGAACGGCAGCAGUAGCAGCAGCAGCAGCAGCAGCAAAAAACACCCUGCCUGAGUUCAUCGUCUCGGCAGAUCGAUCAGAAGAUAGCGAACAAAAGGGAAUGGAGCGUUAAAGGCAAAAGGAGUGAGUGAACGAAGAACAAAAAAAAAUCACAAACUAUCAGAAUUCCCAGUAGCAAAUUAUCGUAUAAUUGAGCGUGGUAAAGAGUUAUGAAAAAAAGGGUAACACAAAAAAACACAACACAGCAGUAACGCAAUAGGGGAAUCAAAUGCCAAAAGCGAAAUAAAAAAAGAGAAAACACUGAACAACAAAAACUACAGCAACAAAAGACUCUCACACACACACACGAGCGCUUGUGCAGUACGGCAGAGAAAAACAACGUGCAACAUUACUGCUAAACAAAGAAUCUUCAGUGCAUCAACGAUGCAUCAGA